rnacentral:lncRNA from 1 species
UCUCAUUCUGUACGUCAGUCCUGCCCUUCAUGUUAUUAAAAGGAAAAAUCAGGGAGAAUAAUGGUUUAGCCAGUGCCUGCUCUAUUCUGGGAGGCAAAAGGCUCUGGACUUUGUUGGGAGCUCUGCCUCAACAGCUGCCUCUCCCCACUCCUUCUCUCAUUUCCCAUAACACUUCAGGUUUGUCUAGGUACUAGGUAACCUCAUUAUGAGCUCCUGGCUCCAUGCAAUUUGGAGCAAAUAAAAGGAUGAGUUUGGUAAAUUUUGGGAUUCCAUAAAAUCCUGUUUUCUCCAUUCUUGUGGAGGGGAUAGGACAUCACAAUUUAGCCUUUUACAGUAUUUUUAUAAAAUAUAAAUCUUAGGAAGGCCAAAGGUCAUCACUGAGUUCUGCAAGGAGGGAAGACAAGUACUUUUGGACCACCCGAGAUUCCCUCAAGCCAGACUGUGCUUCUGGUCUGUCACCACCAGGGGUUUGAGGGUUUCGAGUGCACUUCCCCAUUAGGUUUUCUUCUUCUAUCCUCUCACUUUCUCAAUGUGUAAACAUACUGGUUCUGUUGAAGUUUCAAGAUAUGUAUUCUUGGGCAGGGGAAUAGGAACACACAAGGCUCCAAUGUCUUUGAUGAAAUCAGAUGUAAAAAUCCAAGAUUCAUAAAGCUCUAUGAACAGCUAAUGUGAUAAAUGGAAUGGCACCAUUUGUACUAUUAACAUGCUAAAUCACCUCACUUGGAACUUUGGCUCUCCCAAGAUAAACUUAUGGUAUAUGGAGAACCAUAGUGAACAGAGUGAAAGGGGAGCUAUAACUUUACACAACAUUCAGCUGACAAUGUCUAUAAGGAAAAGUGAUCCACUAGAUUCUCCCCAAAACCUAGACAAAGUUUUUUAUCCUUAGUGACCAAAUGUACUGUUACUUUUACGAGGUGAUUUCCUGGCCAGUGUUCUUUUGAGAAUAUCCCCUUGGAGGGAAAAUAAAUCAAAAAGCAUUUGGAAGCUAAAUAAUCUCAUCCUAAAGAAUGAAUGGGUAAAACAGCAAAUUAUAGACACAAUUAACAAUUUCAUCCAAAAGAAUGCAAAUAAUGAAACAACAUAACAAAAUUUGUGGGAUGCAGCCAAAGCAGUAAUAAGGGGAAAUUUUAUAUCUCUA